GUUGACACUAGGACAUCUCCAUCACUUAGCGUGCAACCAUCAGUUACUGAUGGCACCGGAAUGUACACUCAUCCAGUUUCAUUUCCCGACGUGCAUGAGUUCCUGCAAGAGGUAGAAGACCUAAUCUCUGUACCGGCCGAGGGCACCUCUGGAGCAUGCCAUGGGAUUGACACUAGGACAUCUCCAUCACUUAGCGUGCAACCAUCAGUUACUGAUGGCACCGGAAUGUACACUCAUCCAGUUUCAUUUCCCGACGUGCAUGAGUUCCUGCAAGAGGUAGAAGACCUAAUCUCUGUACCGGCCGAGGGCACCUCUGGAGCAUGCCAUGGGAUUGACACUAGGACAUCUCCAUCACUUAGCUUGCAAUCAUCAGUUGCUGGUGGCACCAGAAUGUACGCUCAUUCAGUCACUGUACUGGCAGAGGGCACCUCUGGAGUGUGGUGUGGAAUUGACACU
rnacentral:lncRNA from 1 species